rnacentral:lncRNA from 1 species
AAAGUCUGAAGUGGUAACUUGUUCCACCCACUGUUAGUGAACUUCACUAUCAGUGACGCUCGACUUGUCACAAAAGCAAAUCGGUCUCACUGGAACCUACUUUCAUUAAACUACUUUGUUGCAUUGCAUAAAGUUUAAAAAAAAAUUGAUAUCAAAACAGUUUGAGCAGCAGGAAGACGCCCGUGCUCACUGCCGUAACACCUCAGUCUUCAGUUUGCAGCAAAACAACAUGGAUGUCAGAGCUCUCGGCAUCAGACUGUAUGCGGACCUUUUCCCUUCUGAGGACGCACCUUGGAUCCUUGCCAUUGCUUUAUUGAGCGCUCUGGUGCUGCUGCUUGGAAUGUAUUUUGGCAAUGAUUGCUGGUACAGAAAUAAAGAUGAUAAGACGUUAUCUUCUAGAGCCAUUUACUAUACCUUAUGCCCGUGCGAGACUGAACUCAAAGGUCUCAAAAAAAGAGCUGAUUGAAGACAAAAUCACAUCUGAGUGGAAUUGAAGACGAUGAAGUAUCACAUAUUGUUAUUGUGAUUUAAGAAGCUGUACAUGGUCUGCUGGGUAUAUAACUAAACAAUAAAGAACUAUAAGUACCAAUAAAGUUCACAUACUAACAAAGGCUUCUGUCUGUUAUGUAGACUUUUAAAUUAAACCACUUGUUGCAUCUGCUCUUUUUGUUUGUGCAUGAAUGCUGUUCAAAAGAAAAAAGCUGCUGCAGCUCAUUUCUUCUAAACAGCAGGUUCUCACUGUGGUCAACCACUAAUAUAAAUGUGCCGCAUUGCUUUGUUUUCCAAAACAGAUGAACCAAAUUUGUGGUAAGCAGUGAAAUACACCUGCAAAGUUUACUACUGUGCAUGCCUUUAUGUGUGGUCUAGUGCACAGGCUUGUUUCAUGCUGCAGCAGAAACUGUUCAGUCGAGUCAAAGAAAACAGGCUAAUUUUGUAGGUCAAACUGUGUCUCUUGAGAAGUGAGGAGAAGAUAUGAUUAAGAUGCUGAGAGGUGGUCUUCAGCUCUUUUCUGCUUCAAUAUUUAUAGUAAGCUUAUAAUUAAUAGGCCA